AGUGUCUACAGCUGAAUGCUCUUCCUAAUGCCAACCACUCCGAGAGUGUAGUGGGUGCUUUUAUGUGCCACCAGCAUGGAUCCAGUCAGGCAGUACUGGCAAUGACCUCACUCGAAUCCUUUACACAUGUCACAGGCACAGUUGCCAGUAAGGCGACGCUGGUAACGAUCACGCUCGAAUGGUGCCUUUUAAGUGCCACUGCAUGGGAGCCAGUCAGGGGGUACUGGCAUCGACC